ACUCAUAUAUUUAACUCAGGUGCUGUUUAUUUCUUCUGAUCAUCCUUGAGAUGGUUCUACACCUUCAUUUGAGUCCAGCUGUGUUUGAUUAUACUGAUUGGACUUGAUUAGGAAAGCCACACACCUGUCUAUAUAAGACCUUACAGCUCACAGUGCAUGUCAGAGCAAAUGAGAAUCAUGAGGUCAAAGGAACUGCCUGAAGAGCUCAGAGACAGAAUUGUGGCAAGGCACAGAUCUGGCCAAGGUUACAAAAAAAUUUCUGCUGCACUUAAGGUUCCUAAGAGCACAGUGGCCUCCAUAAUCCUUAAAUGGAAGACGUUCGGAACGACCAGAACCCUUCCUAGAGCUGGCCGUCUGGCCAAACUGAGCUAUCAGGGGAGAAGAGCCUUGGUGAGAGAGGUAAAGAAGAACCCAAAGAUCACUGUGGCUGAGCUCCAGAAAUGCAUUUGGGAGAUGGGAGAAAGUUGUAGAAAGUCAACCAUCACUGCAACCCUCCACCAGUCGGGGCUUUAUGGCAGAGUGGCCCGACGGAAGCCUCUCCUCAGUGCAAGACACAUGAAAGCCCGCAUGGAGGACUCCAAGAUGGUGAGAAAUAAGAUUCUCUGGUCUGAUGAGACCAAGAUAGAACUUUUUGGCCUUAAUUCUAAGCGGUAUGUGUGGAGAAAACCAGGCACUGCUCAUCACCUGUCCAAUACAGUCCCGACAGUGAAGCAUGGUGGUGGCAGCAUCAUGCUGUGGGGGUGUUUUUCAGCUGCAGGGACAGGACGACUGGUUGCAAUCGAGGGAAAGAUGAAUGCGGCCAAGUACAGGGAUAUCCUGGACGAAAACCUUCUCCAGAGUGCUCAGGACCUCAGACUGGGCUGAAGGUUUACCUUCCAACAAGAUAAUGACCCUAAGCACACAGCUAAAAUAACGAAGGAGUGGCUUCACAACAACUCCGUGACUGUUCUUGAAUGGCCAAGCCAGAGCCCUGACUUAAACCCAAUUGAGCAUCUCUGGAGAGACCUAAAAAUGGCUGUCCACCAACGUUUACCAUCCAACCUGACAGAACUGGAGAGGAUCUGCAAGGAGGAAUGGCAGAGGAUCCACAAAUCCAGGUGAGGACACGUUCGAGCUGCAUGCGGUGCAGUUGGAGCUGGAGGCCGUGGAACGACAGAUCCGAACCCUUCUGGAGAAGCAGGCCGAGCUACGGGAGCGGCGAACAGCGCUGGAAACAUCCCGUGCUGACGCUCACCAAUCCUCGGUAAGUUUGCAGCGCGAUAUUAACAUUCCUGCUUCCUCUACGCCGUGUGCUUCUCUGCACAGGGCCCGAGCACCCAGAACGCGUUCAUCCCAGCCCUCGUUCACUCCGGCGCCGUCACACCAGGGACCUUGGGUUCUUCAGCAAUGGAAGGCGUGAGCCAGGCCUCGGACCAGGACCUCUCCCCCUCCGCCGCCCCCGGUCUUCGAGGUCUCGACGAGGAACCGCUUCCCCCCUCUUCGCGAGGCAGAACGCGACACCGUGGUCAUCGGAGACUCCAUCGUCCGUCACGUCCACGCUACCACAACCAAAGGUAAGGUGCGCAGUCACUGUUUUCCUGGUGCUCGUGUUCUCGAUGUCUCUGCGCAGGUUCCCGCGAUCCUGAAUGGCGCUGAGAGCAUCGGAGCUGUUGUUCUGCACGUGGGGGUGAACGACACCAGGCUGCGGCAGACGGAGGUGCUGAAGCAGGACUUCAGGAGCCUGAUCGAGACGGUACGAGCCACAUCGCCCGCGACGAGGAUCAUCGUGUCCGGACCGCUUCCGACGUACCGACGUGGACAUGAAAGGCUCUUCCGUGCUGAUGGCCUGCACCCCAGCAGAAUCGGAGCUGAUCUUCUGUCGGAGAACAUCUCCAAGACGCUUCGCACCGUAUGACUAGUGACUAGAGAGUACAUCAGUUUCAGUUUGGAUCCAGCCUCUUAAGAAGACCUCAGAUGACUAAAACUUUGGAAGAGACGGCGCCAACUCCUGCGAUGACUUCAGAAGAUGCAACAUCUGGAUCAACACGCACAUUCGCAAAUUUCUAUAUAUCCUAAUUAUUGUUAAUAUGUAAUUCAUUUUUCCAGGAGCUCUUUGCUUCUACCUUCAAUUAAAUUGCUAACAGUGAUUGUAUAUUAAUCGCCUAAAUUAUUACAUUAUUAGCUAACUGCAGUCUCCAAAUUGUAAUGUUGACAUGCAUUCUCUGUAAAGCUGCUUUGAAACGAUAUGUAUUGUGAAAAGCGCUAUACAAAUAAAUGUGAAUUGAAUUGAA